UCAUGCAUCAAUCUGGUUAAGACCUGCAGACGGAGCCAGAAGAAGUUACCAAUGGGACAAUAUAAUCACAGAAAGCAUGAAUGAAACUUCUGUACAUCCCUCUUUAUAGUUUCCAAAGCAGCCAGUACGUACGACUACCUACUCGGCGUAAGGUUCAUCAAUAUUGGUGUUCCUUCACUCUUCAUGCCCUGCAAAUCUGGGCAGCAUCAGUGGAGUCAUGGAGAACCGUCACUGAAUGUUAUGCUGAAACAAGGAACGAGGAGUAAGUACUUCAGACCUUGCUGUAGGGCAGGAGAAAGAACCAGGACCAGCCCAACGCCAAUUCCAGCCCAAUCCGGCCCAACAUUGCAUUAGUCCGCCACUGAAACUACCAAACGACUUUGGUGAUCGUGACGAGGCGUGGGCUUCUUUUACAAACCAAUUACCGGGAGGGUAAAGCUCUGGUAGAUUGAAAAGAAUUAGCCAGGCCUCCGUAGGUAGCUGUUAUAGUUCCAAAGUCUGCCCUUUUCUCGUUUGUACUUGUCCCUCCAACUCCUCCUCCAUCACCGCCGCCGCCGCAGCCGCCCCCGCCGCCGCCGCAGCCGCCCCCGCCCCCGCCGCUUCAUCGCAGUAUGCCCCAUGAGAUGAAGAUCAAAUGGGAUGAAAAAUGCGCAUUGAACUUCAAUUAUUGGAUGGGUGUUCUGACCUAAUAUGAGAAACUGAGACAGCUGAUUCAGAGUGGGACGGCUCUUUUAUGCAGCGGAUUUUGAGUAUACCUAGAGUUCUUCCGCUGUUGUUGUCUCUACCAAAUAAGUAGAAGGUUACAUAAGAUGAUUCAGUGAACUAUGUUUUCUAUCUUGAUUACUGUUUUCAUUUUAGAAGCAUAACCUCUUGAACUUAUUUAUUUCUAAGAUUAUGGCCAAACUGUUGACACUUUCUCAAUGCCCAAGGCAAAUAUGGAGAGAGGAAGACAUGGAGCAGAGGGAGGAGACCUCUCUGGGCUGUGGAAAUUGGUGGCCUCCGCCAAUGGGGAGUAUUAUUGAAGAAAAUAUCUUAACUCUAGGAAAGAAACUUUGAUACCAUGGAAAAUUUGGAGAAGAAAUAUUGUAUUGCCUUGAGAUAAUAAAUUCAGUACAAAUUCCUAAACCUAGAAGUAAUAAUAGGACACUAAACCCACUACACAUAAAUGCCUAAUAAUUAUAACACCAUCAACAAUAUGAACUCAGAUGAUCAUGUUACCUUUUUUUGUCUUCCAUGUAUCACAAAAGCUCAAUUAACUGAUAAUCUAUCUUUUUCUUGUUCAAGUUAUCUGUGUCCUCUUGGAGUUACACCAUGCCGUGCCAUGCUUGCUAACUUGUAAUCUUCCAAUUGAUUCAUUUUUGAUAGUACAAAUUUUCUCUUACGUAUGGAUUUCUUGAAUCCUGAGGGUUAUAUUACCAUAGUCGAAAAUUAUCUGAAUUAACAAUCUCUGGACAUUGGCGUCCUCAUACAUGUGUUUCACAAUGUUAAGAGAUGGUUGGUUCUUUGGUUAAGUCAGCGAUUCUUCCUACUGUUACAGUGAACAGGUGUCAAAUUCACCUUCAAGUUUCUGGAAAUGCUAAAAGGAGUGUCCAAAUGAUGUGUUAUCAGAGAAGAGAUCUUCUUCCAUUGCAAGUCUUUGAAGGCUUGAGAAGAAUAGAUAUCCUAGGCACCUCACCAAGAUACAAAUGUGAUUUUUGUUUGGUGGUUUCAAGAUAUAUAUCUCAUUCGCAGGGGGAAAGACCAUGUUCGAUCGUUUUACAGAGAAGGCAAUGAAAGCAAUAAUGCUUACUCACGAAGCGGCAAAACUCCUAGGCCACAACUUUGUUGGGACAGAACAAAUAUUGUUGGGCCUUCUUGGUGAAGGGACACGUACUGCUGCAAAAGUUUUAGAAUCAGUGGGAAUUAAUCUUAAAGAUGCCAGGGUGGAAG